UACGGGGGGGGUAAGCGUUGUUCGGAAUUACUGGGCGUAAAGAGCUCGUAGGCGGUGUGUCGCGUCGGCCGUGAAAACCUGCAGCUUAACUGUGGGCUUGCGGUCGAUACGGGCAUGACUGGAGUUCGGUAGGGGAGACUGGAAUUCCUGGUGUAGCGGUGAAAUGCGCAGAUAUCAGGAGGAACACCGGUGGCGAAGGCGGGUCUCUGGGCCGAUACUGACGCUGAGGAGCGAAAGCGUGGGGAGCGAACAGG
rnacentral:rRNA from 1 species